UGGGGACACGGAUUUACCUGUAAAAAAUUUUUCUGUGAGUAUCUCUUAAAGGGGGUCACCUCAGAGAAGCUGUUCUGAAGCUUUCGGAGUUGUUGGGAACUCGUCGUCAUCACCAUCAUCAUCAUCAUCAAUUUACAAAUAACAGGAAAUGGCGGUUAUCAUAUGAGGUCUCUCCUAGACACAUUGGAAAUGUGGCGACAGAAGACUCAUCAGAAACGGACAUUUCAGGGCUUAGGCCUCUUUCUGGUUUGUUUUGGGUUGUAUUUCCUGUAACUCUCACUCUCCGGGCUGCGCCCUCCUGAAGUCUGACCGCUGUAGGGUGGGGCACUCCUGCUUUCCUUUGUGUGCCUGCCUUGCCGGGAGCCAUUUUGCCACUCGGGCCAGCCUGGAGUUCCUUUCACGGGUUUUGAAUGUCCUUCUGAGCACUGAUUUCUUCAGAUUUUCUGGUUCGUCUACCUGCGGUUUCAGUAAUUUGUGUCUUUCUAAGAAUCUUUCCAUUUCAUCUCAGUGAUCUACUUUGCUGACAUAAAGUUGCCCGUCACAUUUCUUUGUGAGUUUUUUAUUUCUCUAAAGUUGUUGUUGGUGUGUCCAUUUUCAUUUCUGACUGUGGUCAUGGAGUCGUCUUCCUGUUUUUCUCAAUGUCGAUAAAUGUCUGUUUCUUUUAUCCUUUCAGGUAAGCCCCCACGAGUAUCCUUUAUUUUCUACGCUAUUUUCCCCCCACGCUGUUUGUUCUACUUAGUCCUGUGCUUGGUUUGGGGUUUCGUUUGUUCUACUUAUUCCAUUGCCUUGGGGUGUAAGAUUAGGCCUUUGUUCUGAGCUGGAUACCUUCUGGAUCCGGGCAUUGGCCUCCAUAAAUAUCCCUGUAAGCCAUGCUUUAAGUUCAUCCCCACCCCCUUGCGUUUUUGGUGGUUGUGUCCUCGUGGUGGUACCUUUCAAAUGGUUUUGUCCUUCUCAUUUGACACGUUAGUUAUUUAGAGUGUGCUGCUUCAUGUCUACCUGUUUAUCAUUUUUGGACUUUUAAAGAUGGAUUCCUGCUUUCAUUCCAUGGUGACCAGAGGACAUUCUCCGUGUGGUUUCUCUCCAUGUAUAUGGAUCCAGAGGACAUGAUGGUUAUAUGUUCUCUUUGUCAAAUAAGGUUGAGAGGGGUCUUUGGCUUUUCUGAAAAUAUUCAUAGCUUUCAACAGUUUAGCUUCUCCUGAAGUACAAACUUCUAAUACAGGACUUGAAGGAUAUGAAUCAUUUGCCCCAGUUAUUAUACUAUCAGGAUGGUGGCUAUCCAGGCUUUUGACAAAAUGAGCUAAAUUGAUCUUUCCAAGAAGACAAAGGAUGAACUGACAGAGACAACAUGGAACACAGAACUAAGAAAUUCAAAUGAGGAAGAAAUUCAACUUCAUUUACAGAAAGAAUUGCAAGAGCUUUCAGAAGUACCGGGAGAAUAUGUCAAAAUCUUAGGAGGAGCAAAAGAGAGUUUUCAAAGACAAAAGCCAUGUGUAUCAUGUCUUCCUGGAGUAAGCUUGGUGUUAAAAUUGAGGCUUAUGAGAGGCUGAUCCUAUUCUGUAAUUCUAAAAUAUUUGAAGAGACUUUUACAGACAUGGUGGUGCUGCAAGAGUCUGCUGCUUUAGGUGGAAUGACUCUGGCCAAGAAACUGAUGCUGGACUGGAUAGAGGACAAUCUCAGACAGACAUUCAAAAUAUACUUUCUCUCUCUGCUACAAAGAAUUCAACCACGUGGGGACAUGCACUUUUGCUGAGCUGAUUUCCAAGGCCUGGACUGAACAUCGAGAUACCAUUACAGACAUCCUACCUCACUACAGAAAUUCCUGUUCAUCAUUGUUGGCUUUGAUGAGCUUACCCAAUGGGGUAGUUAUUAAUGAUAUAUGUGUUGACUGGAAGAUACAGAAACCAGUGUGCAUCCUCUUGGGUAUUUUGCUAAAGAGUCAAGUGUUCCCCAAGGCAACUCUACUAAUCACCAUGGGGUCUUGUGCUCUUAGAGACAUCUGGCUGUUGUUCAAAAAGCCACCCAUUGUAGAAAUUGAAGGUUCUUUGAGUUCAACAGGAAGACAUAUGUCUUGAAACACUUCAAAGAUGCAGAUCAAGCCCUGCAAGCUUUCAACCUGUUAAGGAGCAUUGCAGACUUGUUCAACAAGGGCUUGGUUCCCCUGGUAUCUGGAUCAUCUGCUCCUGUCUGAAACUGCAGAUGGAGAGUGGAGAGGACAUCACCCUGACUUGCCAGACCUCUACAUCACUUUCCCUCCAUUACUCUGCAUCCAGUUCACACCUGCACAUGUCACCUUACCCCAUCAGUACCUCCAAACCCCAGUGAAGUCUCCAUGUCUCCUGGCUUCCCAGGGCAUUUGGACACAGGCAUUGUUGUAUGAUAGAGAAGGCCUCAGGAUUCUUGAGGUGGAGGAAGGUGAACUCUGUCCCUUUGUGGGCAAGAGUAUCCUUUAGAGAGGCAAGGACUCUGCAGGCUGUUACUUCUUCAUCCACCUCAAUGUCCAGCAGUUUCUUGUGUUCCUGCUUUGUGUUUUGGGGUGCAAGAAGGAAGAAGAUGGGAAAAACUGCAGGUGGGAUAUUGGGAAUGUGGAGAAAUUGCUCUCUAAGGAAGGAUCAUUAAAGGAACCCAGAUGACCCAUGUGAGAUAAUUAUUGUUUGGCCUGUUGAAUAAAAAGAGAUUCAAGGAGAUGGAAACAACAUUCAACUGCCAGAUGUCAAUGAUGGUCAAACAGGAAUUGCUGAAAUGCAAAGGAAAAUCCAAUGAGAAAAAGACUCUUCUUUUCAAUGAUGGACAUGAUGAAGUUAUUUUACUGUCUCUAUGAAUGUCAGGAAGAAGAGUGUGUGAAGGGACGUAAUGGUCCACAUUAUGGAUAUUUACCCAUAUUUGAAAAAUAAAAUGGAUGGCAUACAUUCUUCACUCUACCUUAGCAUUCUCAAAAUUUGCAGUAAAUUUCACUGUAUGUAGAAAAAGGAAUAUUUCUGGAUUUAGAUACAGCAUUGGAAUCAAACUCUUAAGUUAAGAGGAAAGAACACCAUUCAUUCUCCUUCUCCUGUCAUCUUCCUCCUGUCACUUUCCAAAGGGAGAAGCCUGAGUAUCCUGUUCCCUGUGUCUGCAUGGCAGAAUUGUCCCUCUUGCUGGGAUUCCUGCCUGCUUAACAAUCAAGGUGGGAGCCAUGAUGUAAUGAUUAGCAAUGGUUGCUUGGAACCAGACCUUGUUUUGAGAACUGACUCCUUUUCUUUUUAGCUGAACUGUUUUUGUAAUAGCCUCAAACUGUUUCAGGUUGCACAUUUUUUUGUAAAAGUUCUCAAUAGCUACAACCUCACCCAAGAGUGUGGAGAGUCUCUUCCCAGAAUCCUCACAUGGCAGAUUUUGGAAUUGAGAUGGCCCCAGCCAUUUAUGUGCCUUUGGGAUUCUUGGUGUAGGUGCAAGGAACAUCCAUUGAACUCAUACAGUUUCAACAUACUGCUUCUAAUCUGGUAGCCACUAAGAACUUGUGCUCUCCCAUGUUCAGGUGAAGAUAUUGGCUUCAGAAACUUGUUUCACUGGGAUAAGACAUCAGGUCUAUUGGCUUUAAAGUCCUGUCAUCAUCCCCCGCCCCCAAAUUACCUUAUGGUGAUAUAUACUGUUUCCCAUCAUACCUACAAAUCUGAUUAACUCAACUACUCAAGGUACUUAUCUGAAAUACUUAUGGAUAUUUAUCAUGCCAGAAUAAAAUACUCUCUUUUUCCUGGUA